AUGAGACGACUCUUUCUUGAACAAUUUCAUAAGCAGAUUUUUCAUGUCAUUCCCAUUGGUUCGAUUCGGAUCCCUCUGUUGUUUCCCUUUCCUCCCGAACCUUUUCCUCGAAAUGAUAAAGAAUCUGGUACACUCGAAUUGUUUCAUUUAAGUGCUUAUUGCUUGCCAAAAAUCCUACUUCUACAAUUGGUAGGUCACCGGGUUAUUCAAAUAAGUCGUGUUUUCUGUGCUUUUCCCAUGUUACAACUUCCGUACCAUUUCGAUCGAUCCGGAAUGGAUCGGUUAAACAUUCUAUUAGGGAGCCCGGUCUUGACUCUUCUGUGUGGUAUUCAUUCUUGUUCGGCUCUUGGAAUCACAUCCAGCAGUGGUUGGAACAGCUCGCAAAAUCCAACCACUUCACCUACUUUGUUGCCCCGAACCGUUUCCCGUACCUUAGAAGGAUUUCAUGUUCUUUCAUCGAUUGGGUAUUCCUCUCCUUUUGUAUCUCUUUAUCCAAUUUCGGUCUCGAUUAGUUCACAAGAUUGA
rnacentral:rRNA from 1 species